UUCGAUUUGUAAUCUAUGGGGGACCCUGACAUGGUGGUUCCAGAAUUAGAAGGGGAAGGAAACCUUAUUGCUGCGGUGAAGCAAACUAUGAUGGCAUUAAGAUCAAGAAAGAAUCUUACAGAUGACGAGAUGGAGAUUUUGGGCGACCUUCAUACCCAAUUAACUACCACAAUCACAAUCGGCGACAGAAAGGCUGAUGAAAAUAACAAGAUUGAAGAAAGGCUAAAUGUUAUUGAGGAGAAGAUUAUGAGAUGGGAUAGACAUUGGCCUAUGAUCUGGGACUCGCAUCUUGAUCAAGCUACUGCGUAUCUGAAUGCUGCUGGUGAAGUCCGAGAGCUGAAUGAAAGACUGGAGACUUUGUGUCGGAAUGAUGACAGCGAAAAGAAGAUGCUACAGAGGGCUCAAAAAGUUCUUCAACUGGCAAUGAAAAGGCUUGAGGAGGUGUUCAAGCACACGCUUGUUGAAAACAGACAACCCUUUGAGCCAAACCAUGCUUCUGUUUUCUUAAGUGCUGCCGAUAGAGUCUCAAAAAUCUCUCCUGGGGAUUACUUGGUUGAGAACUCAGAUGAUAGAUGUAUUUUUAACAGAAAUUCAGAGGAGUUCAUCAUUGAUUUGGUUCAAUAUGAUGCCAUUUCUGAGCUCAGACGAAUUGCAAAUUUGAUGUUCAUUUCUGGUUAUGGUGAUGAAUGUUCUCUGGCAUAUAUUAACCUUCGAAGAGAUGCCUGGAAUGAGUGUCUAUUCAAUCUUGAAAAGGAGAAACCGAGAAUUGAAGAUGUGCUAUGCUCGAAGAGGGACAACUUCAAAUCAGAGUUGGACAGCAUAAAAUUGAAGAACAAGAGAUGGAUUCACAAUAUGAAGAUCUUUGUCCGUGUCUAUCUUGCUAGUGAGAAAUGGCUCUCGGGACAGAUUUUUGGGGAACUCAGAACGGUUAAUUUGGUUUCUUUGUCUGGGGAUUUAAUCUUGCUGCUAUUUAAGUAUUUUGGGAGAGACAUAUCUAUUCAUCCCCUAAAUCCAGAAAAGCUGUUCCAUAAUCUUGACAUAUACAAGUUCAUGGCUGGUCUUCAUCCAAAUGUAGAUUCUUUGUACUCCGACGAGGAUAUUUCUCGAGUUAGAGUUCACAGUGAUGAGGUUCUAAGGGGAUUGGCUGACUCUGUGAGGCGAGCACUUCAUGAAUUUCCGAAUUACGUUGUUACAUACAUGACGAGAAAUUCUUUUGCGAACAUUCCAUCUGAAGGAAUUCACCCUCUCACCGAAUAUGUAAUGAAGUACAUCAGUACUCUCGCUGACUACAGCGAGACCCUUAAUUUUCUCCUCAAGGACUAUUAUGGGGAAGAUCCCAUGUUAGCAUCCCCUUGCAAGAGUUCAGAUGUGGAAGAAGAGAACAUAAGUGGAAGCACUUGCGACUUUUCCCCAAUUGCUCACUCCUUUCGAUCAAAUGCCUCAAUUCUAAAAUGGCUUUACAGUGGCUCCCCGAUGAGUUCAGCUAUGCAAGAAGAGAGCAUAAGUGGAGAUACAUCCAACUUUUCCCCAAUUUCUCUCCAACUGGGAUUGGAAGCUUCACUUCUAAAAUGGCCAUCCAAUUGCUUCCAGCUAAGCACGGCUACAGAGGAAGAGAGCAUAAAUGGAGGCACAUGCGACAUUUCCCCUGUGGCUCUCUACUUUCGAUUGGUUGCUUCCAUUUUAGAAUACGAGCUCUUCAACAGGGCCAAAUCAUUUAAGGAUGCUUCUUUACAGCACGUAUUCUUGACGAACAACAUGCAUUACAUGGCACAAGAAGUUGUGAAUUCGAAUCUUCAGUCUAUACUUGGAGAUGGGCGGAUUCGACGGGAUGCCAUGGAUGAGUUUCUCCUUAUUCUUGAAAUCGAGAAACUGAGCAUUGAAGAUGUGCUGAGAUUGGAGUGGGGCAGCUUAAAUUCCAAGAUCAGGAGAUGGGUUCGGACCAUGAAGAUCUUUGUGCGGGUCUAUCUUGCUAGUGAGAAAUGUCUAUCAGAACAGAUUUUUGGGGAUUUGGGAACAGUUAAUUUGGUUUCUUUUGCUGAGGUUUCAAAGGCUUCAAUGCUGCGGCUUUUAAAUUUUGGUGAGGCUGUAUCUAUUGGUCCCCAUAAACCAGAAGAGCUGUUUCGUAUACUUGAUAUGUAUAAGGUCCUAGCAGAUCUUCUUCCAGACAUAGAUUCCUUAUAUGCAGAUGAGAGUGGUGCUCGUGUUAGAAUUGACUGUCGAGAAGUUCCAAGGAGAUUGGGGGACUCUGUAAGGGCAGCAUUUCUCGAAUUUGAAAAUGCUAUUUCAACAAACACCUCAACAAACCCUAUUGCAGGAGGUGGAAUUCAUCCUCUCACCAAGUAUGUUAUGAAUUACCUCAAUGCUCUCACUGGCUACCGGGAAACUCUCAAUUUUCUCCUCAAGGACCAUGAUGGAGAGGAUACCAUGUGAUUGUCCCCUGACAUUAAUCCAUCUACAGAAGAAGAGAACGCUAGAGAAGGUGCAUGCGAUGGUUCACCACUGGCUCUCCACUUCCGAUCAGUUGCUUCAAUUCUAGAAUGCAAUCUUGAUGACAAGGCCAAGCUAUAUAGAGAUGCUUCUUUGCAGCACAUAUUCUUGAUGAACAACAUUCAUUACAUGGCUCAAAAAGUUGUGAAUUCGAAUCUUUAGUCUAUACUUGGAGAUGGGUGGAUUCGAAAGCACAACUGGAAAUUCCAGCAGCACGAGAUAAACUAUGAAAGAAAUACAUGGAGUUCUAUCCUCGCUAUACUGAAGGAAGAGGGGAAUUCCAAUUCUUCAAGAACUCUUCUCAAGGAAAGGUUUCGGAAUUUUUAUACUGCUUUUGAGGAGGUUUACAGGACACAGACAGCGUGGUCAAUCCCAAAUGCUCAUCUACGAGAAGAUUUGCGAAUCUCAACAUCCCUCAAGGUGAUCCAAGCCUAUCGGACAUUUGUCGGAAGACACACAAAUCAAAUUAGUGACAAGCACAUCAAGUACAGUGCAGAUGAUUUACAGAAUUACUUGUUGGAUCUCUUUGAGGGGUCUCAAAGAUCAUUGCACAAUCCCCACAGGAGAUCAUAGAGUCAUUUCUUAAAACCUGGGGUUUAGGCUUUUAGUUUUAUACCUCCUCUGCUAUUGUAAUAUUUUCUUUCUCCCCCGCUCUUCUAACUUGCACUUGAUCGAUAAACGGGCCAAGGUGGCCUGGCUCGUACCAUCACUAGCCAAAAUGCCUGAGAAAUCUCGGUUCUACAAUAUGUAAUGUAUGAGUGGAAUAAAAAUAAAAAAAAAAGGUUUAUCCGGUAUCAUUGUCCUCGUUGGCUAACAUAAACUGGUUAGAUUGUGAUUGCACAAUCCCCACAGCAGUUUUGGUUGCAUCUUUGUCCAUUAUAUAUUAACCUCGAGGACAGCUUUUGUUUCCAAUGUCGCCUGCUCUCUCUGUUCGAUGAAUAAACACCACGGUAUAAUUUCUUUAUUUUCUUAGAAAUAUCGAAAUAAAAUUUCCCAGAAGACAAACUCUGUAACCAUAUCACCACAGCAAGGCUUCGAUUGAAUGCUGGGAUGUAACACAUAACUGAUCCAAUCAGGUACGAUGGCGGUGCCCAGUUCAUUAACUGGGCUGCCAUUUGGAACACGUUCCUUGCAAGUUGCUGCUGCAGUUGCCAGCUAACAUAUGGUGACCUCCUGGAAGGAGUCACUAAAUGGAAGAACUGGGGCCAUGAGGUUGACUGCAAUCCCCGAUCUCUGAACCUUACCAGCCACAUGAACCCUCAACGCAGCAGACAGGCAAUUCGUUCUAAAAUGGUUGUUGUGUCUUUGAUAUAUCAAAAUUGGCUGCUUAAAACGAGGACCGAGUUGAGAGGGAAAGUUGAGUGUUCUUGAGAAAUGGUUUUGUCUGCAAGCACAUAUGAUGUUAGUCCUCCUCCUACACAAGGAAGGAUGGCAGCAAGAAAACAAGAUCAGGUGGGGACAUUUGCAAUUAUAUACAUGUUAGCCCAUCACUGUCUGGAUUCUGGAAAGAUGAUAACAGGGUAGAGCGCGUUAUUCUCUUAUGAAAUUUCCCAAGUGAAAGAGACUUGAACAUGAGCAAAUUGAACGCCCUCCCUGUUAAAUAAAAGCAGUCUUUAUGACGCAACGUCAUCUGAUACAUCCCUAGAAAAUGAACUUGGAGCUCCAAGUUUGCCACUCUCAUAGAUCAUGUGUUGGUCCGAGAAUAACUUGUGUAAUCAAGAUAUAAAAACAUGUUGAUAUUAGAAAUAAUAUUUAAAAAUAAAAAAAAUAUAUUAUUUUAAUAUAUUUAUAAGUAAAAAAUACUAUAAAAAUCACUUUCCAAACACAUUUUUUUUUUUUCCAAUUUAAAUCAAGUUUCAUCUUAACUUGUUUUUAGAUUUGAUGCUAGAAAGUCCAAAUGAUGCAUUUGGGUUUGGAUUAAACUUGCGAUUUUUUAUUAUUGGGCCUUCUAUCUGUUCUUCGUUAGUAUUUUGAUGGAUGUUCCUUCGCACCUGUACUCCUUCGGGCCUUAUUAAUCCAAGAAACUUUCCCUCCGAAUCAAAGAGCAGAGAAAUUUCCAAACAAGAGACCUCAAUCAAUCAAAGAAGUAAAAAAGAAUAUUUGUUUCACUUUUUGGGGGUUAAAUGCAUGUGAAAGUGCCACGCACUGCGAGGAAACUUCCUGUUUCCCUGUCGGAAAGAAAUGCCGUAGUAUCCGCGUAAGACCAUUAUGGCUGAACUCCGGUCAACACUUUUUACUGUAUAGAAAAAGAAGAGCCGAGAGAGACGGUGGCUCCAGUGUCUGCUUAAGUUGAUAAAAAGCUCCAAAGCUCCGAAAGAAAGGUCAGUUUUAGCUUUUAGUAUUCUCAGGAAAUUAAAUCGGAUGCUUGCUUGUUCAUCUCUUGACUGCAAAAUCUAAAAUCUGCUUUGUCCUUCCAUUCCUUGCUUUGUUUGAUUGUCUUUAGCUUGUCUUGGCCCUGUUCAUUUCAGAUAUGUUUGUGUUUAUUAUGCCUUCAUAUGCCAUGAUCUUGAGACUGUGAGCAUGUAUCAUUGAUUCUUAAAGAUUGAAUAAUGAUCCUCUCAAGAAAAUUAAUAAUAAAUAAAACAAAAUAACAUGUCUAUAUAUAUAUAAGGAGAUAAAUAUUCUCUUUAUAUGGAGUUUUUUUUAUAAAGAAAACAAUUUUGACAUUUUGAAUUUCUUAAAAGAGAAGAUAAUAUAUUUAAUAAUUAUUAAUAAUUUCUUUUUAAUAUAUGUGAUGAUUAUUAAUAAAAUUUAAAGAUAUUUUUGUCAAAAUUUAUGGAAAUGCACGCGCGCGCGCCCAUACACACACAAGUGAAUUGGGUUUCAAUGUUUUUUUUAUCACUGUUGAGCUGUCUACUGAUACGGUUGAUCAUAGUGAUUCUUUCUAGUGUACUGAAAGUUCUCAUUGUUCUGGUCUUAAGCUUAUGCAAUUAUUUUCAUUUUCUUUCCUGUAAUCAGUUCUUGAAUGGCGGUGCUUAAUUGCAACAAGCACUCAAGAUUUCCUUCACUGGUUACUUGCUAGAGAACUCCAGCAAAAGAUUUUAUAUUCCGGUUUGGAAAGUUAAUGUUCUAAAUUUCCAGCCAACAGACUAGCAUUUAGUGCUGUGAUUUUUGGGAAUCGAAGUCUAUAGCUGAGAGUUUAGAGGCUACUUUAGCAACUUGAAAGGUAAUCUUAGAGUUGUAGUUGAAAUUCAGGAUUUGUGGUUCAAUGUUCUGAUUAUUGACUAUCCAGGUUGUGAUUGUUGGUGAUCUUCGAUUUGUAAUCUAUGGGGGACCCUGACAUGGUGGUUCCAGAAUUGGAAGGGGAAGGAAACCUUAUUGCUGCGGUGAAGCAAACUAUGAUGGCAUUAAGAUCAAGAAAGAAUCUUACAGAUGACGAGAUGCAGAUUUUGGGCGACCUUCAUACCCAAUUAACUACCACAAUCACAAUCGGCGACAGAAAGGCUGAUGAAAAAAACAAGAUUGAAGAAAGGCUAAAUGUUAUUCAGGAGAAGAUUAUGAGUUGGGAUAGACAUUGGCCUAUGAUCUGGGACUCGCAUCUUGAUCAAGCUACUGCGUAUCUGAAUGCUGCUGGUGAAGUCCGAGAGCUGAAUGAAAGACUGGAGACUUUGUUGUGUCGGAAUGAUAACAGUAAAAAGAAGAUGCUACAGAGGGC
rnacentral:lncRNA from 1 species